AACGGCCAUACCAUGCUGAAUAUACCGGUUCUCGUUAGAUCACCGAAGUCAAGCAUGAUUGGGCGCGGUCAGUACUUGGGUGGGUAACCACCUGGGAACACCGCGUGCCGUU
rnacentral:rRNA from 1 species